rnacentral:lncRNA from 1 species
UAGAAAUUCACGUCUCCUUGGCGGCCUGAUUGGAAGAGCAUCUGGGACUUGAGCCCCAAACUUGAGCUGGGUUCUCUUGAAAGCUUCCAGAGGAGAGCCUUGUUCCCACUGGCUUCUUGCAGGCAGGCAGGAGAGACGGGGUACGCAGGGAGGUGGGCACCUGGACAUGCAGCUCCACUGUUGUAUAAACAAUGGCAGGCUUUGCCUAAAGAAGCAGUCUCCUCUAACUCCUGUGGUGCCACAGAGGGAGGUGAAUGUUCCUAGCUAUCCGUGUUCAUAUGGACAUUUUAUUCCUCCCCUCCAUCUUCUCAGUCCUCUUGGGUUCUCUUCUUCUGUCUCCUAGGACUAGGACUUGUCAAGAUGGCGUCAGAGAAAGCUACUGGUGGGUUGGAAGAACACGAUCAUUAGCCACAUUUGUGGGAGGAAUGCUCCAGGUUGGUCAGGCUAACUUUGACCUGAAAGCGAAAUGCUGGUGACUAAGACACAGAGAUGGAAUCCCAGUGGCUGACAGGAUUUGCAUCUUCCCCCUCUGGCCAAGGAAGUGCCUUCAAAAUGAGUUCCUGGAUGCAAGUUAUUCAGCUGGACACAUGAGGAGG